UUAAAUAUAACAAUUACAAGCGCGGAGACACGCAAAUAUUCCGUACCGAGCCGCUGCGUGUUUGUACACGCAUACACAUGCGGUGUGCGCAACCAUAUUUUUAGGCGAUUAAGUCACCCAAUUACCCAAGGGGCCGCACUGUUUGGGGCACCCACGCAGGAAAAGAAACAACACUUUUGAGAGGGGGCGCACUGAGCGCCGGCCGUGACGCACGCGUCGCUCGUCAUACUCACUGAAGGCGUGGAUGUAGACGUGCCCAAUCCCUCGUUACAGAGAUCGACACGGAACGUCUGUCUCCACGACAUCACACAUCCCGCCGAGUGGGCUCAAUGGAGCAAUUCUCCUCCGCUCGGAGGUUGUGAGAACAAUAACGGCCACCUCGAUGGAGAACCUGCGUCGCCAAUGAUUUAAAUCAACAACGACAACAGAAUCAUGGAAUUGUGGGAGAUGCGACACCGGUGGUUCACGCACUGCGUUGCUCAAUUCCGCUCGGUGUAAAACGUCCAUGGCGAGUGUGAUACGCGCUGGGCUCCCCUUCACCAACCCACACUGACCAGCAUGGUGAGGAUUGUUGCCAGCGGAGUCUGGCACAGCGACAUGGCAGAUUUGGCCUUCGCUCUGCCCACUUGAAACAGAAUCCGGGAAUCCAGUAACAAGGUGCAGCCAUGCAAUUCCUCGUUCAUGCCACUGCUGGCAGAAGAGCCUGCACGAGAGGCAGCUCCAGAAAGGCCCCUCUCGAGGGUAUUUUUGGUCAGCUCUUCCAACUGGACCGGACAUCUCAGAAGAGGAGGGAGUACCUGCAUUUUUACUCCACCACAUACAACCCUGCCUGAUCGACUAGCUGUGGCCUAUACCCAUUUAUACUGGCAUGCGAACUGGCCCGCCGUGAAAAUAGAGCACCGUGGCUCAUUGGAUUCUUCCAUUCUAAACAAAGACUUUGUGUCUGAACGGAGCCAGGGGAGAUUUAAGAAAC